GAUGAAGAACGUAGCGAAAUGCGAUAAGUAAUGUGAAUUGCAGAAUUCAGUGAAUCAUCGAAUCUUUGAACGCACAUUGCGCCCUCUGGUAUUCCGGGGGGCAUGCCUGUUCGAGCGUCAUUAUAACCACUCAAGCUCUCGCUUGGUAUUGGGGUUCGCGGUUCCGCGGCCCCUAAAAUCAGUGGCGGUGCCUGUCGGCUCUACGCGUAGUAAUACUCCUCGCGAUUGAGUCCGGUAGGUCUACUUGCCAGCAACCCCCAAUUUUUACAGGUUGACCUCGGAUCAGGUAGGGAUACCCGCUGAACUUAAGCAUAUCAAUAAGCGCAGGA
rnacentral:misc_RNA from 1 species